UGCAAGUCGAGCGAACGGACGAGAAGCUUGCUUCUCUGAUGUUAGCGGCGGACGGGUGAGUAACACGUGGAUAACCUACCUAUAAGACUGGGAUAACUUCGGGAAACCGGAGCUAAUACCGGAUAAUAUUUUGAACCGCAUGGUUCAAAAGUGAAAGACGGUCUUGCUGUCACUUAUAGAUGGAUCCGCGCUGCAUUAGCUAGUUGGUAAGGUAACGGCUUACCAAGGCAACGAUGCAUAGCCGACCUGAGAGGGUGAUCGGCCACACUGGAACUGAGACACGGUCCAGACUCCUACGGGAGGCAGCAGUAGGGAAUCUUCCGCAAUGGGCGAAAGCCUGACGGAGCAACGCCGCGUGAGUGAUGAAGGUCUUCGGAUCGUAAAACUCUGUUAUUAGGGAAGAACAUAUGUGUAAGUAACUGUGCACAUCUUGACGGUACCUAAUCAGAAAGCCACGGCUAACUACGUGCCAGCAGCCGCGGUAAUACGUAGGUGGCAAGCGUUAUCCGGAAUUAUUGGGCGUAAAGCGCGCGUAGGCGGUUUUUUAAGUCUGAUGUGAAAGCCCACGGCUCAACCGUGGAGGGUCAUUGGAAACUGGAAAACUUGAGUGCAGAAGAGGAAAGUGGAAUUCCCAUGUGUAGCGGUGAAAUGCGCAGAGAUAUGGAGGAACACCAGUGGCGAAGGCGACUUUCUGGUCUGUAACUGACGCUGAUGUGCGAAAAGCGUGGGGAUCAAACAGGAUUAGAUACCCUGGUAGUCCACGCCGUAAACGAUGAGUGCUAAGUGUUAGGGGGUUUCCGCCCCUUAGUGCUGCAGCUAACGCAUUAAGCACUCCGCCUGGGGAGUACGACCGCAAGGUUGAAACUCAAAGGAAUUGACGGGGACCCGCACAAGCGGUGGAGCAUGUGGUUUAAUUCGAAGCAACGCGAAGAACCUUACCAAAUCUUGACAUCCUUUGACAACUCUAGAGAUAGAGCUUUCCCCUUCGGGGGACAAAGUGACAGGUGGUGCAUGGUUGUCGUCAGCUCGUGUCGUGAGAUGUUGGGUUAAGUCCCGCAACGAGCGCAACCCUUAAGCUUAGUUGCCAUCAUUAAGUUGGGCACUCUAAGUUGACUGCCGGUGACAAACCGGAGGAAGGUGGGGAUGACGUCAAAUCAUCAUGCCCCUUAUGAUUUGGGCUACACACGUGCUACAAUGGACAAUACAAAGGGCAGCGAAACCGCGAGGUCAAGCAAAUCCCAUAAAGUUGUUCUCAGUUCGGAUUGUAGUCUGCAACUCGACUACAUGAAGCUGGAAUCGCUAGUAAUCGUAGAUCAGCAUGCUACGGUGAAUACGUUCCCGGGUCUUGUACACACCGCCCGUCACACCACGAGAGUUUGUAACACCCGAAGCCGGUGGAGUAACCUUUUAGGAGCUAGC
rnacentral:rRNA from 1 species